CUAAACGGCCGCGGAAUUAAAACCGUGCAAAGGUAGCACAAUCACUUGCCCCCUAAAUCGGGGCCCGUAUGAAAGGCAACAUGAGAGAGAACCUGUCUCCUAAGAUCGGCCAAUGAAAUUGAACUGUCAGUACAAAAGCUGACAUUAACAGGCAAGACAAAAAGACCCUGUGGAACUUUAACAAAUUGCUUACACAAGAUUAAACAAUAGUUUCAGUUGGGACAACUUUAGAAAAAAUAAACUUCUCAAACUCAAUAGACUAACCGGUCUGAAUCAACAUAAGACCCAGUUCUCACUGAUUAACGAAACAAGCUACCCCAGGGAUAACAGCGCCACCUUCUCAAAGAGCCCAUAUCAACAAGAAGAUCUACGACCUCGAUGUUGGAUCAGGGUACCCAGACGGUGCAACAGCUGUCAAAGGUUCGUUUGUUCAACGACUAACACCC
rnacentral:rRNA from 1 species